CAGCAGCCGCGGUAAUACGUAGGGUGCGAGCGUUAAUCGGAAUUACUGGGCGUAAAGCGUGCGCAGGCGGUUCGUUAAGACAGAUGUGAAAUCCCCGGGCUUAACCUGGGAACUGCAUUUGUGACUGGCGAGCUAGAGUAUGGCAGAGGGGGGUAGAAUUCCACGUGUAGCAGUGAAAUGCGUAGAGAUGUGGAGGAAUACCGAUGGCGAAGGCAGCCCCCUGGGCCAAUACUGACGCUCAUGCACGAAAGCGUGGGGAGCAAACAGGAUUAGAUACCCGCGUAGUCCCUGUCUCUUAUAA
rnacentral:rRNA from 1 species